rnacentral:rRNA from 1 species
CCCUUAGAUGUUCUGGGCCGCACGCGCGCUACAAUGGUCUUCGCAAACGGAUGCAUUCUCGAAGGAGAAUGCCAAUCUUGGAAUCUAUGCCUUGGUCGGGACAGUUGCUUGCAAUUUUUCGACUCGAACCAGGAAUUCCUUGUAAUCGUGAUUCAUCACAUCACGAUGAAUACGUCCCUGCCCGUUGUACACACCGCCCGUCGCUCCUACCGAUCGAAGAGUUAGGUGAAUUGUUUUGAUCGAUAAGAUUUGACUAUGGUCAACUCUCGUUGUGAAAUUCUGUGAAGCUGACUGUUUAGAGGAAGGAAAAGUCGUAACA